UACAGAGGUCUCAAGCGUUGUUCGGAUUCAUUGGGCGUAAAGGGUGUGUAGGUGGCGCCGUAAGUCGGGUGUGAAAUUUCGGAGCUUAACUCCGAAACUGCAUUCGAUACUGCGGUGCUUGAGGACUGGAGAGGAGACUGGAAUUCAUGGUGUAGCAGUGAAAUGCGUAGAGAUCAUGAAGAAGACCAGUGGCGAAGGCGGGUCUCUGGACAGUUCCUGACACUGAGGCACGAAGGCCAGGGGAGCAAACGGG
rnacentral:rRNA from 1 species